GCCGCACCCCGGGGCCCCAAGGAGCCGCGCUACCGGCCCACACCCCGCGCUCCCGGCCCCUGGCCUCAGGCUGCGGCAUCUCCAGCCCCCAGCCGCCGCCGGGACCGCGCGCCCGCGCCGCGGUCUGGUUCCGGAGCGGGGGCAGCCUCGGAAGGGUUGAGGAGUCAAGAACUGAAAAUUAGAUGGUUUUUUGGAUUUGAGGAUGUGGAAGAUCCUAUGAUUCCUCAUGCAAUGUUAUUUUUAAAGUUCCUGGCCGGGAUGUCAUUCUGAGAGAACGCCUGUUCGCCUCAGCUGAACAUGGAUAGUUUCCCAUCCUUUCCUCUGGUCUGAGUUUUGAUUUGCUUCGGUGCUGGUUCUGACCUUUUGUCCUGCCUGUGAGAGCAGGGCUCCCAGCUCUUCGCGAUGUCCAUCUCCGGCUCUGUAUUGAGA
ensembl:lncRNA